GAUGAACGCUGGCGGCGUGCCUAAUACAUGCAAGUCGAGCGAACGGACGAGAAGCUUGCUUUUCUGAUGUUAGCGGCGGACGGGUGAGUAACACGUGGAUAACCUACCUAUAAGACUGGGAUAACUUCGGGAAACCGGCGCUAAUACCGGAUAAUAUUUUGAACCGCAUGGUCCAAAAGUGAAAGACGGUCUUGCUGUCACUUAUAGAUGGAUCCGCGCUGCAUUAGCUAGUUGGUAAGGUAACGGCUUACCAAGGCAACGAUGCAUAGCCGACGUGAGAGGGUGAUCGGCCACACUGGAACUGAGUCACGGUCCAGACGUCUACGGGAGGCAGCAGUAGGUAAUCUUACGCAAUGGGCGAAAGGCUGACGGAGCAACGCCGCGUGAGUGAGGAAGGUCUUCUGAUCGUAAAACUCUGUUAUUAGGGAAGAACAUAUGUGUAAGUAACUGUGCACAUCUUGACGGUACCUAAUCAGAAAGCCACGGCUAAAUACGUG
rnacentral:rRNA from 1 species